rnacentral:lncRNA from 1 species
UCACUGAUGGCAUAUCUUGAAGAGAAAACCAAGAACCCAGCUCUCUCCUCUCUAUUGACACAGAUACGUGGUGAAGGACCUCCUGCCCAGGAUUGAUACCACCUGCAGUGAACUGGGUCUUCCAACUCAACUGGGUCAAUCAUCAAUCAACACUCUAAAGGCUUGCCUGGAAGCCAAUCUGGGAAAAUACAAACAAAAAUGAGGAGGAAAUGAAGAAAGCCAAGAUUUGUUUUGAAAUGUUUGGUUGUCCUCUUGAAGGCUUGGUCUUUUCUGAUGGGACAUAGAGGGGGAGUGGAUCUGUGGGAGAGAGGAGGUGAGAGGGAUCUGGGAGAGGUUGAGGAAUGGAAAGCAGUGGUUGGGAGAUAUUGUAUGAGGGAAGAUUCUAUUUUCAAUAAAAGGAAAAAAUGUGAGAAAC